rnacentral:rRNA from 1 species
AGAGAGCUUGCUCUCGGGUGACGAGCGGCGGACGGGUGAGUAAUGUCUGGGAAACUGCCUGAUGGAGGGGGAUAACUACUGGAAACGGUAGCUAAUACCGCAUAACGUCGCAAGACCAAAGUGGGGGACCUUCGGGCCUCAUGCCAUCAGAUGUGCCCAGAUGGGAUUAGCUAGUAGGUGGGGUAACGGCUCACCUAGGCGACGAUCCCUAGCUGGUCUGAGAGGAUGACCAGCCACACUGGAACUGAGACACGGUCCAGACUCCUACGGGAGGCAGCAGUGGGGAAUAUUGCACAAUGGGCGCAAGCCUGAUGCAGCCAUGCCGCGUGUGUGAAGAAGGCCUUCGGGUUGUAAAGCACUUUCAGCGGGGAGGAAGGCGAUAAGGUUAAUAACCUUGUCGAUUGACGUUACCCGCAGAAGAAGCACCGGCUAACUCCGUGCCAGCAGCCGCGGUAAUACGGAGGGUGCAAGCGUUAAUCGGAAUUACUGGGCGUAAAGCGCACGCAGGCGGUCUGUCAAGUCGGAUGUGAAAUCCCCGGGCUCAACCUGGGAACUGCAUUCGAAACUGGCAGGCUAGAGUCUUGUAGAGGGGGGUAGAAUUCCAGGUGUAGCGGUGAAAUGCGUAGAGAUCUGGAGGAAUACCGGUGGCGAAGGCGGCCCCCUGGACAAAGACUGACGCUCAGGUGCGAAAGCGUGGGGAGCAAACAGGAUUAGAUACCCUGGUAGUCCACGCCGUAAACGAUGUCGAUUUGGAGGUUGUGCCCUUGAGGCGUGGCUUCCGGAGCUAACGCGUUAAAUCGACCGCCUGGGGAGUACGGCCGCAAGGUUAAAACUCAAAUGAAUUGACGGGGGCCCGCACAAGCGGUGGAGCAUGUGGUUUAAUUCGAUGCAACGCGAAGAACCUUACCUGGUCUUGACAUCCACAGAACUUAGCAGAGAUGCUUUGGUGCCUUCGGGAACUGUGAGACAGGUGCUGCAUGGCUGUCGUCAGCUCGUGUUGUGAAAUGUUGGGUUAAGUCCCGCAACGAGCGCAACCCUUAUCCUUUGUUGCCAGCGGUUAGGCCGGGAACUCAAAGGAGACUGCCAGUGAUAAACUGGAGGAAGGUGGGGAUGACGUCAAGUCAUCAUGGCCCUUACGACCAGGGCUACACACGUGCUACAAUGGCAUAUACAAAGAGAAGCGACCUCGCGAGAGCAAGCGGACCUCAUAAAGUAUGUCGUAGUCCGGAUUGGAGUCUGCAACUCGACUCCAUGAAGUCGGAAUCGCUAGUAAUCGUAGAUCAGAAUGCUACGGUGAAUACGUUCCCGGGCCUUGUACACACCGCCCGUCACACCAUGGGAGUGGGUUGCAAAAGAAGUAGGUAGCUUA